AAUUUUUUAUGUAACAAGCAUAAACAAAAAUCUGUUCUUAUCAGCUUAAUAUCUGAUAUGGGCCUAAUUGGUCCAAGAUAUUAAACUUAUUUUUGCACGCGGUGUUCCUCCGAAGCAGAGCUGGCAGUAAUGUAAUUACUGUAAUGAAAUUACAGUAAUUUAAGUACUUGUUCCAGUAAUUAGUAA